CUUUUGCUUUAGAGCACAUAUUUUGUCAUCGUAACGUUAUCUUCCAAUUGAUAUGGUUUUCAAUCACUCACAUAUCACCUUCAGAUAAGAGUUGGGCAAAUUAUGCAAACUAGCGUGAUCACAAGUAGCGAAAUAGUCAUCGUCAAUCGACAUGCAUUCUUCUUUACUGAUCGUGUGUCUUUGCUGCUGCUUUGGUAAUAGAGGGAAAUCAGCAACAAACAAUUAUUAUAACAAAUGUAAUAUUUUUGUGUUCUCAUAGGCAGUGGAAUAAAAAAGAAAGUUCAGUGGGACAGAUUUUUAUUUCAAUUACAGCGCUGGAUAACUCGUUGACACUUUUAAAAUACUCAAUAUCAAAAAAAUAAAAAAAAUAACAUUAUUGCUGGUGUUGUCACAUUUAAUAUGGUCACCGUAUAGGGAGCUAAUUUACAGAUUUUACCUUUCAUGUAAAAAAUGAGUGUCUCCGUUGCCAUGAAUGAUAUAACACAUCAAAACGCCAGAACUAAACAACACCCUCUCUUAAAAUGUUUUUUUUUAUUUCCGCUACUAUAGCAUGGUGUACUAUAUAUGUAAGGUUGUUAUGAUUCCACAACCGAAAUAGCGUUAUUGUCGCAUGUUUUAAACUUGUUUCACCUCAUGCUUUGUCUAUUUAAAUGAAGACUAGCGGAGGCUUCUUCUUAUUGUAAUGAUGGCACCAUCUGCUACAGCGGAACCAACUGCUGUCGAGAUUCUAUCUAUUCUAACUCCUACUACUGCUGUGAAAACGUGACAUCCGCACCAGAAUCAUGGAGUACUGGAGGCAUAGCAGGCGGAGUCGGCGGUCUGACGAUAUUGUUUAUUUUUAUUGGCGCGUACUGUCGUACACGAUAUCAUAUUCGUGCGGUAGUGGUACGGAAAGCCGCUGCGAACCCUAGCAUCGCCGUCAUAUCUAACACGCAAGAGAUGUCAAGUAUGAUGCCUCAACCGAUGCCAUACGUCCCGUAUCCAGGGCCACCCGCUCCGUAUGCCGGGCAACCUGGUCCGUAUCCCGGGCAACCUGGUCCGUAUCCCGGGCAGCACGCCCAAUAUCGAGAACAACCAGGCGCAAACCAACAAUCCCCGCCUCAGUAUUCACCUACGUAACGCGUCUGCAGGUGCGAGAGUCAGGAAAGUAGACGAUAAUAUUGUGCAAUGGCGCUACAAUGCAGGAUCACAAUGUUAGUGAUAUGUCGUACACACUUGGGAAUAUGGUCUUGUUUAAAUGACGUUUAUGUUAAAUAAACAUAUGUAAUAACUAAACAGGAAAACUUAGAGGACGGUACUGUCAUGCUUUAUUGUCAAGUUAUGUGUAUCAAACAUGUUCCUUUCUUGAUGUUACUUUAACUUGAUUGCGUUCAUUCAUUCCAAAGUUCCACCACUAUGUUAACAUUUGUAUAAACAGUUUAUGUUGUACGUUAUACAUUCAUGAACAGGCAUUUACAAGAUAGUAUGUUAGUGUUGGUAGAUGUUGAAAUACAAAAAAAGUUGUACGGGUUUAUAUUUAGCAUGUGUUGUGUAAUGGUAUAUUUAAAAAUUAAAUAAAUGCCUCUUUCUGAUUUGAGGUGCUUCUGUGCGAAA